rnacentral:rRNA from 1 species
UACGGAGGAUGCGAGCGUUAUCCGGAUUUACUGGGUGUAAAGGGAGCGUAGACGGUUAUGUAAGUCUGGAGUGAAAGCCCGGGGCCCAACCCCGGGACUGCUUUGGAAACUGUGUAACUGGAGUACAGGAGGGGCAGGCGGAAUUCCUGGUGUAGCGGUGAAAUGCGUAGAUAUCAGGAGGAACACCGGCGGCGAAGGCGGCCUGCUGGACAUUAACUGACGCUGAGGCGCGAAAGCGUGGGGAGCAAACAGG